rnacentral:rRNA from 1 species
GAUGAACGCUGGCGGCGUGCCUAAUACAUGCAAGUCGAGCGAACAGACGCGGAGCUUGCUCCUCUGACGUUAGCGGCGGACGGGUGAGUAACACGUGGAUAACCUACCUAUCAGACUGGGAUAAUUUCGGGAAAGCGGCGCUAAUCCCGGAUAAUAUCUUGAACCGCAUGGUUCAAUAGUAAAAGACGGUUUUGCUGUCACUUAUAGCUGGAUCCGCGCCGCAUUAGCUAGUUGGUAAGGUCACGGCGUACCAAGGCAACGAUGCGUAGCCGACCUGAGAGGGUGAGCGGCCACACUGGAACUGAGACACGGUCCAGACUCCUACGGGAGGCAGCAGUAGGGAAUCUUCCGCAAUGGGCGGAAGCCUGACGGAGCAACGCCGCGUGAGGGAUGAAGGUCUUCGGAUCGUAAAACUCUGUUAUUAGGGAAGAACAAGUGUGUAAGUAACUAUGCACGUCUUUACGGUACCUAAGCAGAAAGCCACGGCUAACUACGGG